GUCUCGGAUAGCUUAACUGGUAGAGCCUUUGGCGCGUAAACCGAGAGAUCUGGGUGCGAUUCCCAGUCUGGGCU
rnacentral:tRNA from 1 species